rnacentral:RNase_MRP_RNA from 8 species
GCUUUGUCGUCUCUGGGGCUCGACCUCGACCCCAAGAAGUUAUGUGAGAUGCUGAUUAGCGGCCAUCACCACAUGGGGCUUACUCUCGC